rnacentral:rRNA from 1 species
UUCCGUUAAGGAGAUCUUUUGGCACCUCUAAAAAUGGUGCAGAAUAAGGGGUGGGCAAGUCUGGUGUCAGCCGCCGCGGUAAUACCAGCACCCCGAGUGGUCGGGACGUUUAUUGGGCCUAAAGCAUCCGUAGCCGGUUCUACAAGUCUUCCGUUAAAUCCACCUGCUUAACGGAUGGGCUGCGGAAAAUACUAUAAAGCUAGGAGGCGGGAGAGGCAAGCGGUACUCGAUGGGUAGGGGUAAAAUCCGUUGAUCCAUUGAAAACCACCAGUGGCGAAGGCGGCUUGCCAAAACGCGCUCGACGGUGAGGGAUGAAAGCUGGGGGAGCAAACCGGAUUAAAUACCCGGGUAGUCCCAGCUGUAAACGAUGCAGACUCGGUGAUGAGUUGGCUUAUUGCUAACUCAGUGCCGCAGGGAAGCCGUUAAGUUUGCCGCCUGGGGAGUACGGUCGCAAAACUGAAACUUAAAGGAAUUGGCGGGGGAGCAC